UACGAAGGGGGCUAGCGUUGCUCGGAAUCACUGGGCGUAAAGGGUGCGUAGGCGGGUCUUUAAGUCAGGGGUGAAAUCCUGGAGCUCAACUCCAGAACUGCCUUUGAUACUGAGGAUCUUCGAGUUCGGGAGAGGUGAGUGGAACUGCGAGUGUAGAGGUGAAAUUCGUAGAUAUUCGCAAGAACACCAGUGGCGAAGGCGGCUCACUGGCCCGAUACUGACGCUGAGGCACGAAAGCGUGGGGAGCAAACAGG
rnacentral:rRNA from 1 species